GACGAACGCUGGCGGCGUGCUUAACACAUGCAAGUCGAACGGAAAGGCCCUGCUUUUGUGGGGUGCUCGAGUGGCGAACGGGUGAGUAACACGUGAGUAACCUGCCCUUGACUUUGGGAUAACUUCAGGAAACUGGGGCUAAUACCGGAUAGGAGCUCCUGCUGCAUGGUGGGGGUUGGAAAGUUUCGGCGGUUGGGGAUGGACUCGCGGCUUAUCAGCUUGUUGGUGGGGUAGUGGCUUACCAAGGCUUUGACGGGUGGCCGGCCUGGGGGGGUGACCGGCCAAAUGGGGACUGGGUUACGGCCCAGACUCCUACGGGGGGAGGCAGUGGGGAUUAUUGCACAAGGGGCGGAGGCCUGAUGCAGCAACGCCGCGUGCGGAAGGACGGCCUUCGGGUUGUAAACCGCUUUCGCCUGUGACGAAGCGUGAGUGACGGAAAUGGGUAAAGAAGCACCGGCUAACUACGU
rnacentral:rRNA from 1 species